GGGAUAACUUAUCCGUGUUCGGGUCUGUUCUGAUGCUUGUGUUAUUCUGUUCUCCAACUAACUGAAGGAAUUAACAUGUCAGCAAUGAUGCCCACAGGACUUAUCCAACUGCCACUGCCACUGUGUCCAGACCCGAUGGACCUGCUCCUCUGAAAGCCACAGUGAAGGCACCGCUGCCGGUCCCUCCUCAGCUGCUCGCCAUUGCCCCAAAGCUCGGGAUAGAAGAGCAGGCGCCAAAUGUGUUGAGACAAAAUUCAUCACCACAUAAUAUGGCCCCUGUGGAAGCGCAGGGAGACACUGUCCUUGAUGAAG